ACGUGAGGAAACUGCAGAAGAAUACAGGAGACAGGAAAGUCAUCGUCUAUCUUGUCUCCUGUAUUCUUCUGCAGUUUCCUCACGUUG
rnacentral:pre_miRNA from 1 species